rnacentral:sRNA from 1 species
CCCAGUCGAAGCCUAUAUCCCACAGGAGC